GACCCAGUGGUGAAACGAAUCACGCCCGCCUCUCUUGAGGUUUGGUACCACAAUUGUCAGCGGGAGCUCCCGGUUCGACUCCGGGCUGGGUCA